ACCCCAAACCGACUCAGGUGGUUAGGUAGAGAAUACCAAGGCGAUCGAGUGAAUCGUGGUUAAGGAAUUCGGCAAAAUACCCCCGUAACUUCGGGAGAAGGGGGGCCCAGAGGGUGAAGGCACUUGCUGCCUAGCCUGAACGGCCGCAGAGACCAGGGAGAAGCGACUGUUUACUAAAAACACAGGUCCGUGCGAAGUCGCAAGACGAUGUAUACGGACUGACGCCUGCCCGGUGCUGGAAGGUUAAGAGGACCGGUUAGUUCUUCGGAGCGAAGCUGAGAAUUUAAGCCCCAGUAAACGGCGGUGGUAACUAUAACCAUCCUAAGGUAGCGAAAUUCCUUGUCGGGUAAGUUCCGACCUGCACGAAUGGCGUAACGACUUCUCCACUGUCUCAACCACGAACUCGGCGAAAUUGCACUACGAGUAAAGAUGCUCGUUACGCGCAGCAGGACGGAAAGACCCCGGGACCUUUACUACAGCUUGGUAUUGGUGUUCGGUACGGCUUGUGUAGGAUAGGUGGGAGACUGUGAAGCAUGCACGCCAGUGUGUGUGGAGUCAACGUUGAAAUACCACUCUGGUCGUUCUGGAUAUCUAACCUCGGUCCGUGAUCCGGAUCAGGGACAGUGCCUGGUGGGUAGUUUAACUGGGGCGGUUGCCUCCUAAAAGGUAACGGAGGCGCCCAAAGGUUCCCUCAGCCUGGUUGGCAAUCAGGUUUUGAGUGUAAGUGCACAAGGGAGCUUGACUGUGAGACAGGCAUGUCGAGCAGGGACGAAAGUCGGGACUAGUGAUCCGGCGGUGGCUUGUGGAAGCGCCGUCGCUCAACGGAUAAAAGGUACCCCGGGGAUAACAGGCUGAUCUUGCCCAAGAGUCCAUAUCGACGGCAUGGUUUGGCACCUCGAUGUCGGCUCGUCGCAUCCUGGGGCUGGAGUAGGUCCCAAGGGUUGGGCUGUUCGCCCAUUAAAGCGGUACGCGAGCUGGGUUUAGAACGUCGUGAGACAGUUCGGUCCCUAUCCGCUGUGCGCGUAGGAAACUUGAGAAGAGCUGUCCCUAGUACGAGAGGACCGGGAUGGACGAACCUCUGGUGUGUCAGUUGUUCUGCCAAGAGCACGGCUGAUUAGCUACGUUCGGAAGUGAUAACCGCUGAAAGCAUCUAAGCGGGAAGCACGCUUCAAGAUGAGGUUUCCAUGGGCUUCGGCCCGAGAGGCUCCCAGCUAGACUACUGGGUUGAUAGGCCAGACGUGGAAGCACAGUAAUGUGUGUAGCUGACUGGUACUAAUAAGCCGAUAACUUGACACAACAAAG
rnacentral:rRNA from 1 species